rnacentral:lncRNA from 10 species
UAAUGAUAAAACUUCAGUUACUCUCUGAAUUUUCCUUUUUUUGAGACUGAAUCCUGUUGCCCAGGCUGGAGUGCAAUGGCAUGAUCUCAACCGCUGCUCACUGCAACCUCUACCUCCCGGGUUCAAGCGAUUCUCUUCAGCCUCUUGUAGCUAGGACUAUAGGCACCUACCAUCACAACCAACUCAUUUUGGUAUUUUUAGUAGAGACGAAACCCCAUCCUCCCAAAGUGCUGGGAUUUCACAGGCCUGAGCCGCAGUGCCCGGCCUCCCAGGCCUUUUAUGCUUGAUGUUUUUUUCAGGGCCCUUCCCAUUGUCAUUUCACAAUCUCAUUGAAAUGUCAGCUUAUGCACUAAAUGCGUGUAAGUUGGGAAUGCCCAAUUUUGUCUAAGAAAAAAGGCCUCCCCCUCCCCCAAAUAAGCACAUUCUUUCAUUUCCUGGGGCUCACCCGAAUGUCUCACACAGGCUGUAAAACAACUACCACCACCUGGCUGGGUGCUGAGGUGGGCAGAUUACCUGAGGUCAGGAUUUCAAGACCAACCUGGCCAAUAUGGUGAAACCCCAUCUCUACUAAAAAUACAAAAAUCUAGCCGGGUGUAGUGGUGGGCUAUUGUAGUCCCAGCUAUUCGGGAGGCUGAGGCAGGGGAACUGAACCUGGGAGGCUGAGGUUGCAGUGACCCGUGAUCCUGCCACUGCACUCCAGCCUGGGUGCCAGGGUGAGACUUUCUCAAAGGAAAAAAGAAGGCUGGGCGUGGUGGUUCAUGCCUGUAAUCCCACCACUUUGGGAGGCCGAGGCGGGUGGAUCACACGGUCAGGAGUUUGAGACCAGCCUGACCAACAUAGUGAAACCCCCAUCUCUACUAAAAAUACAAAAGUUAGCCAGGUGUGGCGUGCACCUGUAAUCCCAGCUACUCAGGAGGCUGAGGCAGGAGAAUUGCUUGAACCUAGGAAGUGGAGGUUGCAGUGAACUGAGAUCAUGCCACCGCACUCCAGCCUGGGCAACGGCGAGACUUGGUCUCAAAAAAAAACACACACACAAAACUACCACCACCUACCCCAAUCGGUUACCCUUUACUUUUCAUGUGACCACCAUGACCUAUUAUGUGUUUUGUUCUUACUUCCCCCACAAGAAUGUAAGCGCUUCAAGUUUAUUCCUUAAUGUUGGAAAAAUGAAUGAAACUGCAAAUGUAGUAGAUCAGUUUUUGGGGAGGUACCAAAGACAAGUUGGUAAAAUACCUUGAUUUUGAAGUGAAAAACGAUGUUACAUUUCAAAGUAUCUUUUCGCCAGGUUAUGGCUCAGGCUUCGAGACCAGCCUGGCCAACAUGGCAAAACCCGGUCUCUACUGAAAAAAAGCGAAAAUUAGCCGGGUGUGGUAGUGUGGGCCUGUAGUCCCAGCUACUCUGAACCCUGGAGGUGGAGGUUGCAGUGAACCAAGAUCGUGCCACCUCACUCCAGCCUGGGCCUCCUAGGCUCAAGUGAUUGUUGUGCCUCAACUACCUGAGUAGCUGGGAUGACAGGUGUGUGCCACCACUCCCAGCUAAUUUUUUUUUCUGUAUUUUUAGUAGAGAUGGAGUUUCACCAUGUCAGCCAGGCUAGUCUUGAACUCCUGGCCUCAAGUGAUCCAACUGCCCUGCCCUCCCAAAGUGCUGGGAUUACAGGUGUGAGCCACUGCAUCCAGCCAAGUUCUAUUCUUUUUUUUUUUUUUUUUGAGACGGAGUUUCGCUCGUGUUGCCCAGGCUGGAAUGUAGCGGCGCAAUCUUGGCUCACUGCAACCUCCACCUCCCAGGUUCAAGCGAUUCUCCUGCCUCAGCCUUCCAAGUAGCUGGGAUUACAGGCGUGGGCCACCAUGCCUGGCUAUUUUUGUAUUUUUAGUAGAGAGGGGGUUUCACCACGUUGGCCAGGCUGGUCUCGAACUCCUGACCUCGUGAUCUGCCCACCUAGCCUCCCAAAGUGCUGGGAUUACAGGCGUGAGCCACCGCAUCCAGCUUCUUGUUCUCUCUUUUAUAUAUAAGUGCCAUUUGCUGAAUCAGAAAACUUUUUGACAAGCAUAUUAAAAGAUUUCAGUUGUAUGUAGUAGCUCAUGCCUGUAAUCCCAACACUUUGGGAAACCAAGGUGGGGGGAUUGCUUGAGUCCAGGAGUUCAAGACCGGCCUGGGCAACAUAGUGAGACCCUGUGUCUACAAUUAAAAAAAAAAAGAAAAAAAAAGUGAGCCGGGCAUGAUGGUGCAUGCCUGUAGUCCCAACCACUCAUGAGACUGAGGUGGGACGAUCGCUUGAGCCCAGGAGGUUGAGGAUGCAGUGAGCUGUGUCACACCACUGGAUUCCAGCCUGGGUGACAGGGUGAGAUGUUGUCUCAAAUAAAAUAUUAAAAAUUGGAUCACCUUAUUCAGCAUUCUGUUGUUUAGCAGUUUUGGAAUUUUAGUUGUUAGUAAAUCUUGACCUUGAGUACACGUUAUUUUGAUAUUCUGUGUGACAAAAUGGGAAGUAUGCAUGAAGCACAUCUGCCAUAAAGUAUGGAUGUCUAGAUUUUUUUUUCCCUAGAAAAAGUAGUUACAAUUGUUUGAGAUACAAGCUGAACUAGCUGCUUGUUUUCACAGAACAUUUUUAGUUUGAAAAAACCUGACAAAUUGAUUAUUCAUAUUUUAGGGGUAAUUUUGGCAGAGAUUUGCUCAAAAAAGAACAAGUCAGCUUGGAAAAAACUGAUGGCAUUUGUUGCCAAUGAUAAAACUCAAGCUUCCAAAUGAAACCUAAAAUUUUGGAAGGCUUGUAUACACUUCUGUGCCCUUAUAGCUUCCUCAGACUUAGACUUUUGUAAUGGGAUUGGUGGUAAUAUUAAUUAAUGGUAUUUUGUUUUAGAUAUUGUAUAUCAAAAUGUGUCAACAUUUGGAAGAUUUGCAUAACUCAGUGAACCAAUAUUUUCCAAAUGAUCAAUCACUGGACUGGUGUUACAAAUAUCACACAUAGGUAAAAGUUCUAUUUAAAUACAAGGUACACCAAUGGACUUUAGAAAAGCUCAUCAAUACGAUUUCAGAAUCCACAUUGCAACUAGCCUUUAAGGAACUCUACUACUUGUCAUAUUUUGGUGUGGUAUCAAAGAGAGUAUCCAUAAUUAUCAGACAAAGCUAUUAAAAUACUCCUCCCUUUUCCAACUUUAUAUAUGAGUGGGGUCAGAUUUUCUUCACAGACUUCAACCAAAACAGCAUAUAACAACAGAUAGGAUACAGAAGCAGAUAUCAGAAUCUAGUGUCUUCUAUUAAGCCAGAAAUAAAAAAUAUUUGCAGAAAUAUAAAACAAUGUUACUCUUCUAUUUUUUUUUUGAAAAUAAUUAUUUUUAAAAUAAAAACAUGGCUGAGUGUGGUGGCUCACGCCUUUGUAAUCCCAGAACUUUGGGAGGCUGAGCCACUGUACCCGGCCUCAUUUUAUAAUUAUUAGUUUAUUAAAACUUUUAUGUGUAUGAUUAGAACUUAAAAUCACAAUGAGUUUUGGUGUUCACUUUUUCGCACAUUUGAGGUUAAUCUAAGGUUGAUUAGAAUUUUCAAUUACUUAUAAUUGAGAGAAAAUAGUGUUCAGUGAUUAAUAAUAUCUUUGUUGUCUUUUUUUUUUUGAGAUGGAGUCUUGCUCUGUCACCCAGGCUGGAGUGUAAUGGCACCAUCUUGGCUCACUGCAACCUCCAUCUCCCAGGUUCAAGCAAACCUCAUGCCUCAGCCUCCCGAGUGGCUGCGAUUACAGGCAUGCGCCACCAUGCCUGGCUAAUUUUUGUGUUUUUAGUAGAGACGGUUUCACUAUGUUGGCCAGGCUGGUGUUGAACUCCUGACCUCAAGUGAUCCACCCACCUCAAUCUCCCAAAGUGCUGGGAUUACAGGUGUGAGCCACCACUCCCGGCCAAUAAUAUCUUUAAAACUAAAAAAAAAAACAGAAAAUUGAUAAGUAAAAUGACUUUUACUAUUGAUAUCAGUUUUGUUUAAUCUGAAACUAUAAAAUAGAGAUAUAUCUA